AGGGGGGAAUUUUGGACAAUGGGGGCAACCCUGAUCCAGCCAUGCCGCGUGAGUGAAGAAGGCCUUCGGGUUGUAAAGCUCUUUCNGCCGGGAAGAAAUCGUGGUCUCUAACAUAGGCCAUGGAUGACGGUACCGGACUAAGAANCACCGGNUAACUACGUGCCAGCAGCCGCGGUAAUACGUAGGGUGCGAGCGUUAAUCGGAAUUACUGGGCGUAAAGCGUGCGCAGGCGGUUUUGUAAGACAGAUGUGAAAUCCCCGGGCUCAACCUGGGAACUGCGUUUGUGACUGCAAGGCUAGAGUACGGCAGAGGGGGGUGGAAUUCCACGUGUAGCAGUGAAAUGCGUAGAGAUGUGGAGGAACACCGAUGGCGAAGGCAGCCCCCUGGGCCUGUACUGACGCUCAUGCACGAAAGCGUGGGGAGCAAACAGGAUUAGAUACCCUGGUAGUCCACGCCCUAAACGAUGUUGACUAGUCGUUCGGAGCAGCAAUGCACUGAGUGACGCAGCUAACGCGUGAAGUCGACCGCCUGGGGA
rnacentral:rRNA from 1 species